CGAGUCGGCCGGGCGGCCGCGUCAGGACCCUCCCGGUCCUGCCGAGGAACGUCCGGGCUCCGCAGGGCAGGGUGGUAGGUAACACCUACCUGGGGUGACCCACGGGACAGUGCCACAGAAAACAGACCGCCGGCCGCGAGCCGGUAAGGGUGAAACGGUGGUGUAAGAGACCACCAGCGCCCAGGGUGACCUGGGCGGCUCGGUAAACCCCACCCGGAGCAAGGUCAAGAGGGGCUGCUGCGCAAGCGGCGGCCCUGCGCGGACGAUUGAGGGCGGCCCGUCCGAGUCCGCGGGUAGACCGCUAGAGGCCGGUGGCGACACCGGUCCUAGAUGGAUGGCCGCCACCCCGACGGCCGCAAGGCCCAGGGGUACAGAACCCGGCGUACAGGCCGGCUCGUCCG
rnacentral:RNase_P_RNA from 1 species